rnacentral:lncRNA from 1 species
GUUGAUUGGCAGUGGGAGAGAGUAGAUACAACAAGACACAAUUUGAAGAACUCCAAACACAACAGGUCUCAGAAGUCUCACACCCAGCAUGGUGUAACAUGUUAGAGAGCGUUGGCAGAGGGAAGUGUCCGGAUGGACAUGCCAUGCAGAGAUGCAAAGUUCCUGAUGACCUUGUGGAGCAGGGAAGGAUGCUGAGAAAACUGGAUCAGAAGGUGUUGAUCUGCGGUGUGGAUCCCCAUCCAAACAUGGAGUCCAAGACAGCCAAAGAGGACUCCCCAAACGGACAGAUUUUCAACAAGAGGAGCUUGCAACCCAGUGAAGGAGAAAAAUGGUUAACCAAAUACAGUGCAGUAAGAGAUCCAACCAACUAAAAUGUUCAGCGCUAGAAGACCACAGAAAAGGAUUAACCGGGCAGUCUUCGCAGAGUAGGUAAUGUUCCAAUCAGACCUGAAGGAUAAGUCUACCAGGAGGGCCUUACUCAUGCCUGUGUUGGGAUGCCUGCCAAUUAUGUUCCCUGAAAUCCUCCAUCUAUCAAAUGCCACUGCAUGAAGAUUUUUCUGAUCCUUCCAACUCGAUUUGGUUUCUCCUGCCUUAUUCUAAUAUUCAUGGCACUUUCGCUUACUCUAUUGACACAUAAUAUCUCACUUCAUUUUGUACCUAUUUGUACACUUGCCUUGACCCUCAACUAAAUUAUCUGCGCAUGCCUGUGCUGCCACAUCCCCUUACCUUGUGUGUACUAGACACUGUUAACCUAAGUAACAAACAGAGAGAGGCUCUCUUAAAGUAAAAGUUACUUAUUUGAGAAUAGAGCAUUGCAAUGGGAAUAUGUGUGCAUUUCAUAGUAAACCAUGUGCAUAUUCAGGACGGAAAAGGAAGUCAAAGGUUUUUAAAGGACAAAUGAGGAGGAUUACACAACUGAUUUGAAAUGAUAUUAUUUGGCUACAAAUACCAAUACCAGGGAUGAUGCCAGGCUGGGUUGAACGGGCAGUUGCGAGGCAGAUGUCCAUGCAGAACUAUUUUUUGUGCAAGGUUGUGAUGGCCUUUGUGCUAGGUUGUGCUUUUUGCAGAACUCUUUGUGACAGUUUGUAUUGUGAGGCAUAGUAGUGUGAGAACCCUUUCUUCAUGGGUUUCCCCAGCUCUAUUUGUUAGGGAGGUUUUUUUUCUUUAUUUAACAUUAGUGUUUGACAUCUGUUAUGGGCUGAACUGUGUCCCCCUCACUCCAGAAUUCAUAUGUUGAAGCCCUAGUACCCAGUGCCUCAGGAUGUGACCAUAUUUGGAGAUAGGACUUUUAAAGGAUGAUUAGAUUAAAAUGAGGCCGUUAGGGCAGGCCCUGAUACAAUCUGACCGGCAUCCACAUAAGAGGAGGAAAUUUAGACACACACAGACACAUCAGGGUUGCACAUGCACAUUCCAUUUUGAUACUGAUAACUUUCACACACUCAAUAAAUAUAAUGUUAGAGUAAACCAAAUAGGAAAUAAAGAAUAGAAGAUAGGUUUAUGAAAAUCAACUCUAAUUCUACACCAAACAAGGAAGACACAAUGUGUGCCCUUUUCACCUUUUUAUUCCCAGAGCCAAGCACAAUUUGUGGCAAGUAGUAGAUGCUCAGUGAACACUUGUUAGAACUGAAUUGAAGAUAUAGGAAAGAGGGUUGUAAAGGUAAACUGAGAGUUAGAAGUGGUUCUGCCGAGAGUCUCCAUAACAAACUAUGUGGAAAAUUUUUCUCUCAUAUGGCAAAGACUUUAGCCAGAUUCUCCAGAAGUGUGUUACUUUUCACAGUUGUGGACCAAUAUUUCUAUGACAAAUGUGAGGUUGUAGGUAAUGGUGAAAUAGCUAGCCUAGAACACAAACGUUGGAGGAUUUCAUGAGGGCACUGCUGUUGCCAUGUCCAUGUCCAUCUUCUUCAGUCUUAGCAAAAGAUUACGGGUAAAAAAAAGUAGCACAAGAUGACAGCAGGUCAUGUCCUCAUAGUGUCUUGGAUUUUUGGUCACUUUAGGAGGAAGGGACUAUUAUCCCUAGUUUUACAGAUAAAGAAACAGAGACUCGGAAAUUUUAAGGCACUUGGUGAAUGUGGCACCAUGAAUGGAGCCCUAAUUUGUUCAGUUCUGAAGCACAAAUUUUGCUUUGAUGAACAAAUGAAGGAGAGGACUCUCCAGAGAUACAGGUUUAACUAAGAGGUUCUAGUAUCUUCUGACAUCUGACCAAUUCUUCUGACUUGCUCUGGUGAUUACAGUUGGUCUAUUUCAGCCAAAGUCAGGUCACCAGGAGAUAGAUGGCAGAGCUGGAUUACACCAAGGAAAUGAGACCCAGGAUGGUAUUUUGACAAGAUAAUUAGAUAUAGAGAGAGUUUUGAAAAUAGGUGAGAAGAAUCUAUUUAUGUCUUUAAGUGUGGAAGAUAAGAUAGAGACAUUGAUGAACAAAGUGUAACAAAAUAUUCAGAGGUAAGAUGCUCGCUUCUGGAAAGAACGAGUGGCUCCCAUCAAUCUUCCUGAUUACCACAAACAUUUCCUAAAAAUGUGCCUGAUAUAUAAGGUUCUUUUCCAUUUUAUGCUCUUAGUGACAUAAUUAGGUAAUAAAAAAG